CAGCCGCCGCGGGAACACGGAGGGGGCUAGCGUUGUUCGGAAUUACUGGGCGUAAAGCGCACGUAGGCGGCUUGGUAAGUUAGAGGUGAAAGCCUGGAGCUCAACUCCAGAAUUGCCUUUAAGACUGCCGAGCUAGCAGGUGAGAGAGGUAAGUGGAAUUCCGAGUGUAGAGGUGAAAUUCGUAGAUAUUCGGAAGUACACCAGUGGCGAAGGCGGCUUACUGGCUCAUACUGGACGCUGAGGUGCGAAAGCGUGGGGAGCAAACAGGAUUAGAUACCCCCGUAGUCCCUGUCUCUUAUAC
rnacentral:rRNA from 1 species